CAAGACCUUGCGCUUUUGGAGCGGCCGAUGUCUGAUUAGCUAGUUGGUGAGGUAAAGGCUUACCAAGGCUUCGAUCAGUAGCUGGUCUGAGAGGACGACCAGCCACACUGGGACUGAGACACGGCCCAGACUCCUACGGGAGGCAGCAGUGGGGAAUUUUGGACAAUGGGGGCAACCCUGAUCCAGCCAUGCCGCGUGAGUGAAGAAGGCCUUCGGGUUGUAAAGCUCUUUCAGCCGGAACGAAAAGGUUACGGUUAAUACCCGUGACUAAUGACGGUACCGGAAGAAGAAGCACCGGCUAACUACGUGCCAGCAGCCGCGGUAAUACGUAGGGUGCGAGCGUUAAUCGGAAUUACUGGGCGUAAAGCGUGCGCAGGCGGUUUUGUAAGUCAGAUGUGAAAUCCCCGGGCUUAACCUGGGAACU
rnacentral:rRNA from 2 species